rnacentral:tRNA from 1 species
UCCCUGGUGGCUCAGCGGUGAAGUAUUUGCCUGCAAUGCAGGACACUCAGGUUCAAUCCCUGGGUUGGGAA